rnacentral:rRNA from 1 species
UCCCAGACUCCUACGGGAGGCAGCAGUGGGGAAUAUUGCACAAUGGGGGAAACCCUGAUGCAGCGACGCCGCGUGAGUGAAGAAGUAAUUCGUUAUGUAAAGCUCUAUCAGCAGGGAAGAAAAUGACGGUACCUGAGUAAGAAGCCCCGGCUAACUACGUGCCAGCAGCCGCGGUAAUACGUAGGGGGCAAGCGUUAUCCGGAUUUACUGGGUGUAAAGGGAGCGUAGACGGCAAGGCAAGUCUGGAGUGAAAGCCCGUGGCCCAACCACGGGACUGCUUUGGAAACUGUGUUGCUGGAGUGCAGGAGGGGUAAGCGGAAUUCCUAGUGUAGCGGUGAAAUGCGUAGAUAUUAGGAGGAACACCGGUGGCGAAGGCGGCUUACUGGACUGUAACUGACGUUGAGGCUCGAAGGCGUGGGGAGCAAACAGGAUUAGAUACCCUCGUA